ACAGCAGUCGCCGCGGGAAUACGGAGGGUGCAAGCGUUAAUCGGAAUUACUGGGCGUAAAGCGCACGCAGGCGGUCUGACAAGUCAGAUGUGAAAUCCCCGGGCUUAACCUGGGAACUGCAUUUGAAACUGUCAGGCUGGAGUCUUGUAGAGGGGGGUGGAAUUCCAGGUGUAGCGGUGAAAUGCGUAGAGAUCUGGAGGAAUACCGGUGGCGAAGGCGGCCCCCUGGACAAAGACUGACGCUCAGGUGCGAAAGCGUGGGGAGCAAACAGGAUUAGAUACCCGUGUAGUCCCUGUCUCUUAUAC
rnacentral:rRNA from 1 species